AGCUCCCUUGGGAAAGCAAAGACUAAAA
rnacentral:tRNA from 1 species